UGAUACCAGGGACAAAAGGUCGUAAAUCCGAUGCAAGCUUGCUUGCAGGAGGAUUUUUGAACUUGGGUCCCGCCAAAAACAUGAGUAAGAAGCCAUUUUUUGAAGAAAAAUGAGCGGAUUACGAAUGUUUUAGAAAUGUUUUUAUAAGGAGCGUAUAAAGUGGCG
rnacentral:sRNA from 1 species